UAUUCAUCCAGUUUUAAACCAGACAAUGCUCUUUCUGUGUGAUUUGUCCCCUGUCUGGUACCGAGACAAAACUGGAGAUGGUUUUGUCCUGUAUUGGAUGGGGAUGCCAUUUCGAAGACCGUGUAGCUCUGCCCUCCCCUGCCGUGACCUUGCACAUAUCAGGGGUGGAGAGCUGUGCUCUUCACAAUGCUGUCCCCCUGAGCAGUGUGACCUCAUGUGCAGCAAGGUCAUUCCGGCAGGGGUAGGCCCACGUUAUUCCAGGAAGUGCUGGAAUGUCCGGUAUUCGGCGAAUGUGCAAGUGGCCGCGCUAAAUUACACCGUAGCCUGUAAAUAUGCUUGCCAUUCACAGCCAGGAACCCUUUGGAGUUAGGCACCUUGUGCUUUUUUAGUGAGAGGCCCUGAGAGCGGGGCAGAGAUGAAGGAGGAGCAGGAGGAGGAUGACUUCCCCCAUAAAGAGCAGGGGGACUGGAUCUUGGGUCGCCCCCGCCUCCCCAUCCUGGGUCCCAGCCCUGGCCUGAAUCAGUGAUUCCCACUUUGCAGACUCCCCAGCUACCCGUGAUGUUGCAUUCAGUGCUGAUCGUCCCUGCAGGAGGAAUGAGAUAUUUUGACCAAAGUCCAGGAGGACUAGAUGUGCAAGAAACUGGAGGAGCAGGUUCUCCACGUCAGGCAGAGGGGGGGAAUUAACCCCAAGUCUCCAACCCCCACUGGAGUACCCUAAGCACUGGGCUAAAGGCAGCUGCUACUGCCCCUCUCCGCCACCCCCAGUUCUGUGAAUGAAGUCAUCCUUGGCUUUUGUCAAAAUGCAUAAAAUUGAAAUGAACUGUUUCAAGUCUUGCCAAAAUGAACUGUUUUGUUUUAGCAUCACCGAACCAUUUCACUCUUUUUUCAGUUCAGUCAAAACUAUUCGGUGAACUCGACAAAUUCACAAAUAGUGUCAGGGUGACCCAAACUGCUUAUUUUCAUGGCUGAAAUAUUCACAGAGAAAAAUUUGCCCAGAUCAGCUCUCAGUCAUACUUGCACGAAGUUAGAGUAACCCCAGUGAAGUCAAUGCUAACAGGCAUCAUGAUCUGGCCCAAUUUUGUGAGAUUUACCAGCUGGAAGAUGAGGAGUAGAGGCCGAGCCAUGCUAAAGAUGGCAGAGCUUUUCAGUGGCUAACUACAACAAGGUCUGUCUUGGUGCCCUAACAUACCACUAUAUGACACUCUAUAGCAGGGGUCGGCAACCUUUCAGAAGUGGUGUGCCGAGUCUUCAUUUAUUCACUCUGAUUUAAGGUUUCGCGUGCCAGUAAUACAUUUUAACGUU